rnacentral:rRNA from 1 species
GUGGCGAACGGGUGAGUAACACGUGAGCAACCUGCCCCUCACUCUGGGAUAAGCGCUGGAAACGGCGUCUAAUACUGGAUACGAGAUGCGACCGCAUGGUCAGUGUCUGGAAAGAUUUUUUGGUGGGGGAUGGGCUCGCGGCCUAUCAGCUUGUUGGUGAGGUAAUGGCUCACCAAGGCGUCGACGGGUAGCCGGCCUGAGAGGGUGACCGGCCACACUGGGACUGAGACACGGCCCAGACUCCUACGGGAGGCAGCAGUGGGGAAUAUUGCACAAUGGGCGGAAGCCUGAUGCAGCAACGCCGCGUGAGGGAUGACGGCCUUCGGGUUGUAAACCUCUUUUAGCAGGGAAGAAGCGAAAGUGACGGUACCUGCAGAAAAAGCACCGGCUAACUACGUGCCAGCAGCCGCGGUAAUACGUAGGGUGCAAGCGUUAUCCGGAAUUAUUGGGCGUAAAGAGCUCGUAGGCGGUUUGUCGCGUCUGCUGUGAAAUCCCGAGGCUCAACCUCGGGCCUGCAGUGGGUACGGGCAGACUAGAGUGCGGUAGGGGAGAUUGGAAUUCCUGGUGUAGCGGUGGAAUGCGCAGAUAUCAGGAGGAACACCGAUGGCGAAGGCAGAUCUCUGGGCCGUAACUGACGCUGAGGAGCGAAAGGGUGGGGAGCAAACAGGCUUAGAUACCCUGGUAGUCCACCCCGUAAACGUUGGGAACUAGUUGUGGGGUCCUUUCCACGGAUUCCGUGACGCAGCUAACGCAUUAAGUUCCCCGCCUGGGGAGUACGGCCGCAAGGCUAAAACUCAAAGGAAUUGACGGGGACCCGCACAAGCGGCGGAGCAUGCGGAUUAAUUCGAUGCAACGCGAAGAACCUUACCAAGGCUUGACAUACACGAGAACGGGCCAGAAAUGGUCAACUCUUUGGACACUCGUGAACAGGUGGUGCAUGGUUGUCGUCAGCUCGUGUCGUGAGAUGUUGGGUUAAGUCCCGCAACGAGCGCAACCCUCGUUCUAUGUUGCCAGCACGUAAUGGUGGGAACUCAUGGGAUACUGCCGGGGUCAACUCGGAGGAAGGUGGGGAUGACGUCAAAUCAUCAUGCCCCUUAUGUCUUGGGCUUCACGCAUGCUACAAUGGCCGGUACAAAGGGCUGCAAUACCGUGAGGUGGAGCGAAUCCCAAAAAGCCGGUCCCAGUUCGGAUUGAGGUCUGCAACUCGACCUCAUGAAGUCGGAGUC